UACGUAGGCAGCAAGGCGUUGUUCGGAAUUACUGGGCGUAAAGGGUGCGUAGGCGGCUUUUUAAGUUUGGUGUGAAAUCUCCCGGCUCAACCGGGAGGUGCGCCGAAUACUGAGAAGCUAGGAGUGUGGGAGAGGAAAGUGGAAUUCCUGGUGUAGCGGUGAAAUGCGUAGAGAUGUGGAGGAACACCAGUGGCGAAGGCGGCUCUUUGGUCUGUAACUGACGCUG
rnacentral:rRNA from 1 species